rnacentral:rRNA from 1 species
UAGGGAAUCUUCGGCAAUGGACGAAAGCCUGACCGAGCAACGCCGCGUGAGUGAAGAAGGUUUUCGGAUCGUAAAACUCUGUUGUUAGAGAAGAACAAGGACGUUAGUAACUGAACGUCCCCUGACGGUAUCUAACCAGAAAGCCACGGCUAACUACGUGCCAGCAGCCGCGGUAAUACGUAGGUGGCAAGCGUUGUCCGGAGUUAUUGGGCGUAAAGCGAGCGCAGGCGGUUUCUUAAGUCUGAGGUGAAAGCCCGCGGCUCAACCGGGGAGGGUCAUUGGAAACUGGGAGGCUUGAGUGCAGAAGAGGAGAGUGGAAUUCCGUGUGUAGCGGUGAAAUGCGUAGAUAUACGGAGGAACACCAGUGGCGAAGGCGGCUCGCUGGUCUGUAACUGACGCUGAGGCUCGAAAGCGUGGGGAGCAAACAGG